GAUCAUGGCUCAGGAUGAACGCUAGCUACAGGCUUAACACAUGCAAGUCGAGGGGCAGCAUGACCUAGCAAUAGGUGAUGGCGACCGGCGCACGGGUGAGUAACACGUAUCCAACCUACCGGUUAUUCCGGGAUAGCCUUUCGAAAGAAAGAUUAAUACCGGAUAGCAUAGCGAGAAGGCAUCUUCUUGUUAUUAAAGAAUUUCGAUGACCGAUGGGGAUGCGUUCCAUUAGUUUGUUGGCGGGGUAACGGCCCACCAAGACAUCGAUGGAUAGGGGUUCUGAGAGGAAGGUCCCCCACAUUGGAACUGAGACACGGUCCAAACUCCUACGGGAGGCAGCAGUGAGGAAUAUUGGUCAAUGGACGAGAGUCUGAACCAGCCAAGUAGCGUGAAGGAUGACUGCCCUAUGGGUUGUAAACUUCUUUUAUAUGGGAAUAAAGUGAGCCACGUGUGGCUUUUUGUAUGUACCAUACGAAUAAGGAUCGGCUAACUCCGUGCCAGCCGCCGC
rnacentral:rRNA from 1 species